rnacentral:rRNA from 1 species
UACGGGGGGGGCAAGCGUUGUUCGGAAUUACUGGGCGUAAAGGGCUCGUAGGCGGCCAACUAAGUCAGACGUGAAAUCCCUCGGCUUAACCGGGGAACUGCGUCUGAUACUGGAUGGCUUGAAUCCGGGAGAGGGAUGCGGAAUUCCAGGUGUAGCGGUGAAAUGCGUAGAUAUCUGGAGGAACACCGGUGGCGAAGGCGGCAUCCUGGACCGGCAUUGACGCUGAGGAGCGAAAGCCAGGGGAGCAGGACGGG